GAUGAACGCUGACAGAAUGCUUAACACAUGCAAGUCCUUGGCGAAUCUGUGCUUGCACAGGCUAGCCAAGGCGGACGGGUGAGUAACGCGUAAAGAACUUGCCCUGCAGACAGGGAUAACAGACGGAAACGACUGAUAACACCUGAUACAGUUGCCGGCACGCAUGUGCCUGGCAAUGAAAAGAGAUGCUGCAGGAGAGCUUUGCGUCCUAUUAGCUUGUUGGUGAGGUGACGGCUCACCAAGGCGAUGAUAGGUGGCCGGCCUGAGAGGGUGAACGGCCACAAGGGGACUGAGAUACGGCCCUUACUCCUACGGGAGGCAGCAGUGGGGAAUAUUGGACAAUGGGGGCAACCCUGAUCCAGCAAUUCUGUGUGCACGAAGAAGGUUUUCGGAUUGUAAAGUGCUUUCAGCAGGGAAGAAGAAAGUGAUGGUACCUGCAGAAGAAGCGACGGCUAAAUACGUG
rnacentral:rRNA from 1 species